UACGGGGGGGGCAAGCGUUGUUCGGAAUUACUGGGCGUAAAGGGCUCGUAGGCGGCCAACUAAGUCAUACGUGAAAUCCCUCGGCUUAACCGGGGAACUGCGUCUGAUACUGGAUGGCUUGAGAUUGGGAGAGGGAUGCGGAAUUCCAGGUGUAGCGGUGAAAUGCGUAGAUAUCUGGAGGAAUACCGGUGGCGAAGGCGGCAUCCUGGACCAUUACUGACGCUGAGGCGCGAAAGCUAGGGGAGCAAACGGG
rnacentral:rRNA from 1 species